UACGUAGGGACCAAGCGUUGUCCGGAAUCAUUGGGCGUAAAGAGCGUGUAGGCGGCCUGUUAAGUCUUGCGUGAAAUCUCGGGGCUCAACCCCGAGCGGUCGUGAGAAACUGGCGGGCUAGAGUGCGGGAGAGGAGAGUGGAAUUCCUGGUGUAGCGGUGAAAUGCGCAGAUAUCAGGAAGAACACCCGUGGCGAAGGCGGCUCUCUGGAACGCAACUGACGCUGAGACGCGAAAGCGUGGGGAGCGAACAGG
rnacentral:rRNA from 1 species